CCAAUUUUCUCUUAUGGCCUGCUAAUUUUAGAAGCCAUACAUCUUCCAACGGGCUAGGGCAAUCCUCUUUGGCAAUCCAUCUAUUACUGGAAUUCACCUCAGAGUAAACCUCGUAUUUCGUAUCACUUUCAUUGAUAAUAAUUGAAUUCGUAAAGUCGUUAAUUUCGCUCAUACUGCCAUCCACGUUAAAAUUCAACAAGAAAUUGAAUGUUUAAAUAUUGCAACACGAGACCAAUUUAGCGUCCGAAAAGAAAUAAUUUUCGCACGUUUAGAGGAAUUAGAUGGUCUAAAAAGAGUCUUUUAUUAUCGUUUUUACAAAUAACCACCCAAAUGUUGUUCCCAGAAUUCCGUGUUCGCCUUUAAAUUUGUACAUAUUUUUACGAAAUACACUGUGUAGCGGAAAAUGUUUACAGCAUUUAAAAGAGCUCUAAUUACUUUUUUUCAUAUAACAAAUCUUUAUUUUAAUAAAGUAACGCGUCACCUCUCUAUUUAAGUCUAUUAUGUAAAC